GAUGAAGAACGUAGUGAAAUGCGAUAAGUAAUGUGAAUUGCAGAAUUCAGUGAAUCAUCGAAUCUUUGAACGCAUCUUGCGCUCCUUGGUAUUCUGAGGAGCAUGCCUGUUCGAGAGUCAUUAACAACCGUUUCGAUCCCUUUCUUUCAGAAAUUACAAAGAGGAAAAGGGUUUGGUUAUGGUGGAGGAGGGAAAGGGAGCGUUUAGCCUGUAAAAAAAGAGGCUGUGUUCCGCCUCCCCCCCAAAAUUGUACAGGCGGUCGUGUGCGCCCACGCAUCGAGGUGUUGUAAAAGCUGCCACGGCACUUUUCACCUGUGCAGUGCGAGAUUGGCCAGCCGGUUUAAAAACCCCUCCAAACAAUCAAAGGUUGACCUCGGAUCAGGUAGGGAUACCCGCUGAACUUAAGCAUAUCAAUAAGCGGAGGA
rnacentral:misc_RNA from 1 species